rnacentral:rRNA from 1 species
AGUGAACGCUGGCGGUAGGCCUAACACAUGCAAGUCGAACGGCAGCACAGUAAGAGCUUGCUCUUACGGGUGGCGAGUGGCGGACGGGUGAGGAAUACAUCGGAAUCUACUUUUUCGUGGGGGAUAACGGAGGGAAACUUACGCUAAUACCGCAUACGACCUACGGGUGAAAGCAAGGGAUCUUCGGACCUUGCGCGAUUCAAUUAGCCGAUGUCGGAUUAGCUAGUUGGCAGGGUAAAGGCCCACCAAGCCGACGAUCCGUAGCUGGUCUGAGAGGAUGAUCAGCCACACUGGAACUGAGACACGGUCCAGACUCCUACGGGAGGCAGCAGUGGGGAAUAUUGGACAAUGGGCGCAAGCCUGAUCCAGCCAUACCGCGUGGGUGAAGAAGGCCUUCGGGUUGUAAAGCCCUUUUGUUGGGAAAGAAAAGCAGCAGGUUAAUACCCCGCUGUUCUGACGGUACCCAAAGAAUAAGCACCGGCUAACUUCGUG